rnacentral:misc_RNA from 1 species
AAGUCGUAACAAGGUUUCCGUAGGUGAACCUGCGGAAGGAUCAUUAACAACGUAUCCACGUUUAUCAACCAACUGUGAACUUGUUUUCAAAUCUCCAACUGUUGUCCUACAGUCCUGGAUUAUUCCUCUGCGAAUAGUCCGUAUAGGAAGGUAGGAUGACGACUAUCUAUAAACAAUUUUAACCGUCCUUUUCUAUAGUUGACUUUAUCUGUUGUGAAUUGAAACUCGUUUCGAUUCUCACACGUUUCUUAAUUGAACGAUAAAUUUACAACUCUUGGCGAUGGAUAUCUUGGUUCUC